rfam:Ictidomys tridecemlineatus contig026966, whole genome shotgun sequence.
GGGGAUAUAGCUUAAUGGGUAGAGUGUUUGCCUAGCAUGCAUAGGGCCCUGGGUUCAAUCCCCAGCACCACCA